UACGUAGGGGGCAAGCGUUGUCCGGAAUCAUUGGGCGUAAAGAGCGUGUAGGCGGCCCGAUAAGUCCGCUGUGAAAGUCCAGGGCUCAACCCUGGAAUGCCGGUGGAUACUGUCGGGCUCGAAUCCGGAAGAGGUGAGUGGAAUUCCUGGUGUAGCGGUGAAAUGCGCAGAUAUCAGGAAGAACACCCGUGGCGAAGGCGGCUCUCUGGGACGGUACUGACGCUGAGACGGCGAAAGCGUGGGGGAGCGAACAGG
rnacentral:rRNA from 1 species